UUACCCUACGGGGCGCAGCAGUGGGGGAUAUUGCACAAUGGGGGAAACCCUGAUGCAGCGACGCCGCGUGGGCGAAGAAGUAUUUCGGUAUGUAAAGCCCUAUCAGCAGGGAAGAAGAAAUGACGGUACCUGAGUAAGAAGCCCCGGCUAACUACGUGCCAGCAGCCGCGGUAAUACGUAGGGGGCAAGCGUUAUCCGGAUUUACUGGGUGUAAAGGGAGCGUAGACGGCAGUGCAAGUCUGGAGUGAAAGGCGGGGGUCCAACCCCCGGACUGCUCUGGAAACUGUACGGCUGGGUGGCAGGGG
rnacentral:rRNA from 1 species